AAUAUUGCUCAGCCUUUUGGCAUGGUAUAUGUGUAGUUUCUGUUCUUAUCAGUUUAAUAUCUGAUAUCUCCCAAAUAUGGGAGUAUUUGUAUUAAAUUGAUUUUUGGAGCAGGGAGAUGGAUUAGUGGCUUGCUCUGUCCUCUCCAUGUAUCAACCUGUUAGUACAGUGUUUUGGGGCGGCACAGUGGCU